UUUAAAGUUAGAAUUUUAUAUAAAGCAGCAAAAUACACAACUGCCCGCCUCAAACUUCCACAGGCAGAAACCAACACUGACCUGCAGACGGCAGAAGAAGGUGAUGUCAUACCGCAGAGAAAGCGAAAAAGACAACCAAACAUUCGCAUUCCAAGUGAUAGUGACAGCGACACACCUAUACA